rnacentral:rRNA from 1 species
AGCAGUCGCCGCGGGAAUACAGAGGGUGCGAGCGUUAAUCGGAUUUACUGGGCGUAAAGCGUGUGUAGGUUGUUGUUCAAGUCAGUUGUGAAAUCCCUGGGCUCAACCUGGGAACUGCUUCUGAGACUGAACGACUAGAGUACGGUAGAGGGUGGUGGAAUUUCCGGUGUAGCGGUGAAAUGCGUAGAUAUCGGAAGGAACAUCAAUGGCGAAGGCAGCCACCUGGGCCUGUACUGACACUGAGACACGAAAGCGUGGGGAUCAAACAGGAUUAGAGACCCGUGUAGUCCCUGUCUCUUAUAC